rnacentral:rRNA from 1 species
GCUUACGGCCAUACCAUCCUGAGUACGCCUGAUCUCGGAAGCAAAGCAGGGUCAGGCAUGGUUAGUACUUGGUUUGGAGAGCGCUUGAGAAUAUCAGGUGCUGUAAGCU